rnacentral:rRNA from 1 species
UGGGGAAUAUUGCGCAAUGGGGGGAACCCUGACGCAGCAACGCCGCGUGAAGGAUGAAGGUCUUCGGAUUGUAAACUUCUUUGAUGAGGGACGAAGAAAUGACGGUACCUCAAAAACAAGCCACGGCUAACUACGUGCCAGCAGCCGCGGUAAUACGUAGGUGGCAAGCGUUGUCCGGAAUUACUGGGUGUAAAGGGCGCGUAGACGGGGAUGUAAGUCAGAUGUGAAAUUCCGAAGCUCAACUUCGGCGCUGCAUCUGAAACUGUGUCUCUUGAGUGCUGGAGAGGAUAGUGGAAUUCCUAGUGUAGCGGUGAAAUGCGUAGAUAUUAGGAGGAACACCAGUGGCGAAGGCGACUAUCUGGACAGUAACUGACGUUGAGGCGCGAAAGCGUGGGGAGCGAACAGG